GCAAGGGGGUAGGGGACAUGCGGCUAGGGGGAAGGGGGGGUAGGGUAAGUGAGGGUAGGGGACAUCAGGCCACACCACUGGAGGGGGUCAGUGAUUGGUGGAGGCGCUGCCCUACUUACUUGUUGGUCUUCUGUGUGUAGACCUGUAUAUUAUUUUGGAUCGGUCCCCAUGGUGGUGAUGUGAGGCAGCCGGCUGGAUGACCUACUGAGUGGCCUUCUGCAGCACUUACUGCUCAAUUUACUGCAUGCCUGCACGCACGCACACGCACACGCACACACAAGCUGCUACCGGGUCUUCCUGUGGGUCCACCCAGUCACGCUGUUCCACUCGGGGCAGCAGAACCGGGAGCUCGCUUCCUAGAGAGCACGGACAGGAAGACACUCACACAGACAGGAUCUCCCUCCCCCUUUCCUAGCCUGUCUCUCUAUGACUCCCUCCUGCAUGGCUCUCUAAGAUCUCUCUCCCUGCCUUGGUAGUAAUUAGAGUAGCUUCCGCUCCCGGUGGGGAUUGAACGUUUGGUGUGUAGCGAGUUUCCCUGCCUGCCACUUGUAUUUAAAUAAUGUCUUGGAAGCAGCACUCAUCUGUAUGGGUGAAGCACAUUCUCCUACUUUACUUUUCACACGCUAUUAGCACUAAUACACAUGGAGCUAGUCCUGUAUUUCUAACAAACAUACAACACGACUAUAAAUAACCAUAAAACCACAACUGCUGAAGUCUUUGCCCCACGCGGGUAUAAAUGGCAAGAUUCCCAUUCCCCUGAAACGGCAAAUGUCACACAAUCCCUAACAGGAUUGCUGUUGUGGUCUAGAUUAUUUUGUAUUAAUAGCAGGGUCACGAGACCUUGGUGUGUGUGUGUGUGUGUGUGUGUGUGUGUGUGUACAUACGGGCUGUAUCCGAAGGCUCCGUGAAUAGUUUAUUCUUUUCAUGGAGCCUGAGGUGAAUAAUUAUUUUAGUUUAUUACACGGGUCUUCUCAAUGCCCUCGCACGCUCCGUUCACUUGCAUGGGCCCUUCACAACUUCCGAAGGUGAAUUAUAUUUGAUAAUUCACCGUUGCUAAAUAUAAUUGACCGCUGUCAAGGAAAACAAAGGAUUUGUAGCCUCUAAUGACGUCUUCGGUAGCACUCCGCAAGUAGUCUGGUAACUUGUCGACCCCAGCAUCUUCGGUUGCUAAGCGACGUCAACGUCUUUGGCAGACUAUUUCUCUGCUGAUCAACACUACGAAUGCUGGUAACAAAUAAA